rnacentral:rRNA from 1 species
GCGCAGCAGGCGCGAAACUUUACAAUGUGCGAAGCACGAUAAGGGAACUCUGAGUGCCUCCUAAGGAGGCUGUUCAGGUGUCUAAAAGCACCUGAAGGAAGGGCUGGGUAAGACCGGUGCCAGCCGCCGCGGUAACACCGGCAGCCCAAGUGGUAGCCACGUUUAUUGGGUCUAAAGCGUCCGUAGCCGGCUGGGUAAGUUCCUUGGGAAAUUUGGCUGCUUAACAGUCAAGCUUUCAGGGAAUACUGCCCGGCUUGGGACCGGGAGAGGUCAGAGGUACUCCAGGGGUAGGGGUGAAAUCCAUUAAUCCUUGGGGGACCACCGGUAGCGAAGGCGUCUGACCAGACCGGGUCGACGGUGAGGGACGAAGGCUAGGGGCGCGAACCGGAUUA